UCCUCUUCAACGCUGCGUUUCUAUGCCACAAACGGAGAGCGCUUGCGCAAGCAGCGCUUUCAAAUCCAUCUUUCUCUGGCAUAUGAGAAAUUCGGAGAAUCGGCUUCACUCUUGGUUUGUCCAUUCCUCACUCUCGGGUGUUGGAUGGGUUACGAGCUCUGCCGGUGACGGCUUGGCGCGAAUUCGCGUCUGUAAUUGGCAUCAGAAAAGCAGGGCUUAGAGGCCAACCUUGUGCUUUUGCGAGGGGAAUUGGUCAUCUAGGUUCCUCUGGGAGGGCCGUUACGAAGCUUGUGAGCAAUCACUUGAGUGCAAUACGCAGCGUGUGGCCUGCCUUCUGGGCAGAUCACACAAUUCGAUUCCGAUUAUCCUGUUGAGGA
rnacentral:RNase_P_RNA from 2 species